AACCACAAUGUAUAGGAGGUCUUGCCUGCCCAGUGACUACAAGUUAAACGGCCGCGGUAUUUUGACCGUGCAAAGGUAGCGCAAUCACUUGUCUUUUAAAUGAAGACCUGUAUGAAUGGUGGAACGAGGGCUUAACUGUCUCCCCCUUCAAGUCAAUGAAAUUGAUCUCCCCGUGCAGAAGCGGGCAUAAAAAUAUAAGACGAGAAGACCCUUUGGAGCUUAAGACGUAAGAUCAACUAUGUCAAGAACCAAUAAACUAAAUAGUAACUGAUCCUCAUCUUCGGUUGGGGCGACCACGGGAGACAACAAAGCUCCCACGCGGACUGGGAAUAAACCCAAAACUAAGAGAGACAUCUCUAAGUCGCAGAAUAUCUGACCAAAAAGAUCCGGCCACCGCCGAUCAACGGACCAAGUUACCCUAGGGAUAACAGCGCAAUCCCCUUCCAGAGUCCAUAUCGACAAGGGGGUUUACGACCUCGAUGUUGGAUCAGGACAUCCUAAUGGUGCA
rnacentral:rRNA from 1 species